rnacentral:tRNA from 1 species
AAAGGGAGACCUAAUUCGGGUAUAAGACGAAAAAAUAGUAGUCGAAACCAAGAAUCAAUCCCAAAAGGUCGGAACGAGGUAUGUGGCUUUCAAACUAGGUUCUGGGUUCAUAAAAGACCUGAAUCAGGAACAAGGGCUAUUAGCUCAGGUGGUUAGAGCGCACCCCUGAUAAGGGUGAGGCCCCUGGUUCGAGUCCAGGAUGGCCCACCUGCACAGGUGGCAAAAACAAAGAAAAGAAGCGAGGAAUCAGCACCUUAUCUUACUUAUAUAGUAAGAGAGAAUGCUGGCUCUGAGUACAGAGUCAGAGGAACCUUGAAAACUGCAUAGAGCUAGGUGAAAAAGCCAAAAAAGAAGACCGCAAG